GACGAACGCUGGCGGCGUGCUUAACACAUGCAAGUCGAACGGAAAGGCCCUGCUUUUGUGGGGUGCUCGAGUGGCGAACGGGUGAGUAACACGUGAGUAACCUGCCCUUGACUUUGGGAUAACUUCAGGAAACUGGGGCUAAUACCCGAUAGGAGCUCCUGCUGCAUGGUUGGGGUUGGAAAGUUUCGGCGGUUGGGGAUGGACUCGCGGCUUAUCAGCUUGUUGGUGGGGUAGUGGCUUACCAAGGCUUUGACGGGUAGCCGGCCUGAGAGGGUGACCGGCCACAUUGGGACUGAGAUACGGCCCAGACUCCUACGGGAGGCAGCAGUGGGGAAUAUUGCACAAUGGGCGGAAGCCUGAUGCAGCAACGCCGCGUGCGGGAUGACGGCCUUCGGGUUGUAAACCGCUUUCGCCUGUGACGAAGCGUGAGUGACGGUAAUGGGUAAAGAAGCACCGGCUAACUACGUG
rnacentral:rRNA from 1 species